rnacentral:rRNA from 1 species
AGUGAACGCUGGCGGUAGGCCUAACACAUGCAAGUCGAACGGCAGCACAGGAGAGCUUGCUCUCUGGGUGGCGAGUGGCGGACGGGUGAGGAAUACAUCGGAAUCUACUCUGUCGUGGGGGAUAACGUAGGGAAACUUACGCUAAUACCGCAUACGACCUACGGGUGAAAGCAGGGGACCUUCGGGCCUUGCGCGAUUGAAUGAGCCGAGGUCGGAUUAGCUAGUUGGCGGGGUAAAGGCCCACCAAGGCGACGAUCCGUAGCUGGUCCGAGAGGAUGAUCAGCCACACUGGAACUGAGACACGGUCCAGACUCCUACGGGAGGCAGCAGUGGGGAAUAUUGGACAAUGGGCGCAAGCCUGAUCCAGCCAUACCGCGUGGGUGAAGAAGGCCUUCGGGUUGUAAAGCCCUUUUGUUGGGAAAGAAAUCCAGCUGGCUAAUACCCGGUUGGGAUGACGGUACCCAAAGGAUAAGCACCGGCUAACUUCGUGCCAGCCGCCGCCGUAA